rnacentral:rRNA from 1 species
AUUGAACGCUGGCGGCAGGCUUAACACAUGCAAGUCGAGCGGAGAGAGGGAGGUGGCUACUGAUCUGAGCGGCGGAGGGGCGAGUAAUGCUUAGGAAUCUGCCUAUUAGUGGGGGACAACAUUUCGAAAGGAAUGCUAAUACCGCAGACGGCCGACGGGAGAAAGCAGGGGAUCUUCGGACCUUGCGCUAAUAGAUGAGCCUAAGUCGGGUUAGCUAGUUGGUGGGGUAAAGGCUCACCAAGGCGACGAUCCGUAACUGGUCUGAGAGGAUGAUCAGGCACACUGGAACUGAGACACGGUCCAGACUCCUACGGGAGGCAGCAGUGGGGAAUAUUGGACAAUGGGCGAAGGCCUGAUCCAGCCAUGCCGCGUGUGUGAAGAAGGUCUUCGGAUUGUAAAGCACUUUAAGUUGGGAGGAAGGGUACUUACCUAAUACGUGAGUAUUUUGACGUUACCGACAGAAUAAGCACCGGCUAACUCUGUGCCAGCAGCCGCCGUAAUAC